rnacentral:rRNA from 1 species
GACGAACGCUGGCGGCGUGCUUAACACAUGCAAGUCGAACGGAAAGGCCCUGCUUUUGUGUGGUGCUCGAGUGGCGAACGGGUGAGUAACACGUGAGUAACCUGCCCUUGACUUUGUGAUAACUUCAGGAAACUGGGGCUAAUACCGGAUAGGAGCUCCUGCUGCAUGGGGGGGGUUGGAAAGUUUCGGCGGUUGGGGAUGGACUCGCGGCUUAUCAGCUGGUUGGUGGGGUAGUGGCUUACCAAGGCUUUGACGGGUAGCCGGCCUGAGAGGGUGAACGGCCACAUUGGGACUGAGAUACGGCCCAGACUCCUACGGGAGGCAGCAGUGGGGAAUAUUGCACAAUGGGCGGAAGCCUGAUGCAGCAACGCCGCGUGCGGGAUGACGGCCUUCGGGUUGUAAACCGCUUUCGCCUGUGACGAAGCGUGAGUGACGGUAAUGGGUAAAGAAGCACCGGCUAACUACGUG